UACAGAGGGGGCAAGCGUUGUUCGGAAUUACUGGGCGUAAAGAGCUCGUAGGCGGUCUGUCGCGUCGGCUGUGAAAACCCGGAGCUCAACUCCGGGCCUGCAGUCGAUACGGGCAGACUGGAGUUCGGCAGGGGAGACUGGAAUUCCUGGUGUAGCGGUGAAAUGCGCAGAUAUCAGGAGGAACACCGGUGGCGAAGGCGGGUCUCUGGGCCGAUACUGACGCUGAGGAGCGAAAGCGUGGGGAGCGAACAGG
rnacentral:rRNA from 1 species